rnacentral:rRNA from 1 species
UGCAUAUCAAUAAGCGGAGGAAAAGAAACUAACAAGGAUUCCCCUAGUAACUGCGAGUGAAGCGGGAAGAGCUCAAAUUUUGAAUCUGGCGGUCUUUGCCCGUCCGAGUUGUAAUCUAGAGAAGCGUGUUCUGUGUUGGACCGUGUACAAGUCUCCUGGAAGGGAGCGUCAUAGAGGGUGAGAGUCCCGUCUUUGACACGGACUACCAGUGCUAUGUGAUGCGCUCUCGACGAGUCGAGUUGUUUGGGAAUGCAGCUCAAAACGGGUGGUAAAUUCCAUCUAAAGCUAAAUACAGGCGAGAGACCGAUAGCGAACAAGUACCGUGAGGGAAAGAUGAAAAGAACUUUGGAAAGAGAGUUAAACAGUACGUGAAAUUGCUGAAAGGGAAACGCUUGAUGUCAGUCGCGUGGGCCGGGGAUCAACCUUUGCACUUUUCGCUGGGUGUACUUCCCGGUCGACGGGUCAGCAUCAGUUUCGGUCGCCAUACAAGGGCGAGGGGAAUGUGGCACCCUUCUGGGGUGUKUUAUAGCCUUUCGUCGCAUGUGGUGCUCGAGACUGAGGAACUCAGCACGGCUUUUCAGCAGUGUGCUUUAGGA